rnacentral:rRNA from 1 species
UCGAGAAUCUUCGGCAAUGGGCGAAAGCCUGACCGAGCGACGCCGCGUGCGGGAUGAAGGCCUUCGGGUUGUAAACCGCUGUCAGAGGGGAAGAAAGCUUACGCUUGACUGAUCCUCAGAGGAAGCACGGGCUAAGUUCGUGCCAGCAGCCGCGGUAACACGAACCGUGCGAACGUUAUUCGGAAUCACUGGGCUUAAAGGGUACGUAGGCGGUCUUGCAAGUGGGGUGUGAAAUCCCCCGGCUCAACCGGGGAACUGCGCUCCAAACUGCAAGACUUGAGGGAGACAGAGGUGAGCGGAACUGAUGGUGGAGCGGUGAAAUGCGUUGAGAUCAUCAGGAACACCAGAGGCGAAGGCGGCUCACUGGGUCUCUUCUGACGCUGAGGUACGAAAGCUAGGGUAGCGAACGGG